CGCAAGCCUGACGGAGCAACGCCGCGUGAGGGAGGAAGGCCUGUGGGUUGUAAACCUCUUUUCUCAGGGAAGAAGCUCUGACGGUACCUGAGGAAUCAGCCUCGGCUAACUCCGUGCCAGCAGCCGCGGUAAUACGGAGGAGGCAAGCGUUAUCCGGAAUUAUUGGGCGUAAAGCGUCCGCAGGUGGCGAUUCAAGUCUGCUGUCAAAGCACGGGGCUUAACUCCGUUAAGGCAGUGGAAACUGAAUGGCUAGAGUGCCGUAGGGGUAGAGGGAAUUCCCGGUGUAGCGGUGAAAUGCGUAGAGAUCGGGAAGAACAUCGGUGGCGAAAGCGCUCUACUGGGUCGCACCUGACCCUCAGGGACGAAAGCUAAGGUAGCG
rnacentral:rRNA from 1 species